GACGAACGCUGGCGGCGUGCUUAACACAUGCAAGUCGAACGGAAAGGCCCUGCUUUUGUGGGGUGCUCGAGUGGCGAACGGGUGAGUAACACGUGAGUAACCUGCCUUUGACUUUGGGAUAACUUCAGGAAACUGGGGCUAAUACCGGAUAGGAGCUCCUGCUGCAUGGUGGGGGUUGGAAAGUUUCGGCGGUUGGGGAUGGACUCGCGGCUUAUCAGCUUGUUGGUGGGGUAGUGGCUUACCAAGGCUUUGACGGGUAGCCGGCCUGAGAGGGUGACCGGCCACAUUGGGACUGAGAUACGGCCCAGACUCCUACGGGAGGCAGCAGUGGGGAAUAUUGCACAAUGGGCGGAAGCCUGAUGCAGCAACGCCGCGUGCGGGAUGACGGCCUUCGGGCUGUAAACCGCUUUCGCCUGUGACGAAGCGUGAGUGACGGUAAUGGGUAAAGAAGCACCGGCUAACUACGUG
rnacentral:rRNA from 1 species